UAACCAGACCCCGCCUCCCGGCACCUCCUCCCUAACGGCUGUUUGUUUUUGCACACGGCACGUGGGGGCGGGGCCUCCAGCCUCCACUGGGACGUGCAAGUGCGAGAGUAGGGGCGGGGCCUCGCGCCGCUCUCCGCCUGUGUCCGCGGCAGAGCCUGACGAGCGGAGGGAUGGACCAGUGAGGGUGGACGGUGGGCGGAGAUUAGCGAAUGAGAACACCGCCCGCCAGCCAGGGAGGCGGGCCUCGGGAAACCACAGCGGGAUUAGCCAACGAGAAGCGACUGGACGGCGGCAGCGGUUUUCCCGCGCUUUCGCGGAGUCAGCUCUCGGUCUCUGAAGUUUGUGGAAGGGCGAGGCAGUGGGCGUCGCUUCUGCCCGCGGGGCUUAGGACUCCCGGGGCGUGUACGUGUUAGCAGGACUCGCGUCCCGGCGGACGCCGACCUCGGCAUGCAUGUCACAGGUCUCACCAGGGGGCGGGCCUGCCCCGUGUGAAGACCCUGUGACAGGAGGGAAGUCAUGUUGCCAAGAGCAUUCCACAGAAAACUUCUCGAAGAGGCCCGAUGCAUGAAAUUCGUGCAAGAGUAGACCUUCCUUUCCCCGGCUGCCGGGACUGGCUUCCCUCUGGCACCCAGGACCCCGGCUUCCCUCCAGCUGUCAGCAGGCACCCGGGACCCAGGCUUCCCUUGCAGCCCCAAGUUCGUCUGGAAGGUCUUCUGGAACGAAGUCCAGUCUAAUUAGCAUAUUAUGCUUUUAUUAUAGAUACUAAAGUUUGACCAGUCGCUAUGACGUGUACUGAUCCCCAGGGGGCAGAUGCUCAACACAGGAGCUGCCGUGAUGCGCACUGGCCAUUUACAAAAAAAUGGCACCAUGGACCUGGCACCGACAAA